rnacentral:rRNA from 1 species
AUUGAACGCUGGCGGCAGGCCUAACACAUGCAAGUCGAGCGGCAGCGGGAAAGUAGCUUGCUACUUUUGCCGGCGAGCGGCGGACGGGUGAGUAAUGCCUGGGAAAUUGCCCAGUCGAGGGGGAUAACAGUUGGAAACGACUGCUAAUACCGCAUACGCCCUACGGGGGAAAGCAGGGGACCUUCGGGCCUUGCGCGAUUGGAUAUGCCCAGGUGGGAUUAGCUAGUUGGUGAGGUAAUGGCUCACCAAGGCGACGAUCCCUAGCUGGUCUGAGAGGAUGAUCAGCCACACUGGAACUGAGACACGGUCCAGACUCCUACGGGAGGCAGCAGUGGGGAAUAUUGCACAAUGGGGGAAACCCUGAUGCAGCCAUGCCGCGUGUGUGAAGAAGGCCUUCGGGUUGUAAAGCACUUUCAGCGAGGAGGAAAGGUCAGUAGCUAAUAUCUGCUGACUGUGACGUUACUCGCAGAAGAAGCACCGGCUAACUCCGUG